ensembl:lncRNA
AUGGUGUGCGGCAAUGUUUUAAACCUUUGUAGUAAGUUUAAUGAUAUAAAUAAUAUGAUUAAAAUCAUAAAAAAAAUGAAACAGUAUAACAUAGAGAUGCUCGAAAAUUCAUAUCUAGCCAUUUGUAAUUAUUAUAUAUCGAAUAAUUAUAUAUAUGAAUAUUUAUUAACAAUUAAUAAAAUGAUUGAAAAAAAAAUGACAAUAAGAGAAAGGUUUUAUAAAUAUAUAUUGACUCAUAUAUUAGACUUGCCUUUAAAAAAUAGUAAUUCCAAUUUAACAUAUUCGUCAGAUUAUGAAAAUAUAUUUGAAAAAGAAAAUAGACAUAUUACAAAUAAUGAAUAUAUAAAUGGAAAUGAUAAUAGAAGUACAAUAAAUAAAAAGAAGAAGACGUUGUUAGUAUCUUCGGGAAAUAAACGAAUUAGUAGUAUUGAAAAAUUUAGUGGUAAUGGAAAUGAUGGAGAAAACCAAAAUAAACGAUACAAUUUAACAUACAAUAUAGACUAUAACAAUUUUGAUAAUUAUGAAAAAAAAUUAAAUAAUUAUAAUAUUAGUUUAGAAAAAGAAGAACGUACAUACAUAUUAAACAACUACUUAUUAAUAGACAUUUUUGAACACAUGAAUAGCAAUCAUGUCAAAAUAAAACUUUUAUUUAUUUUGAAAUUAAUAUAUUAUGUGUAUAAUAAUGUACAAUAUAUUAUUUCUAGUAAUGCCGGAGUUGGUGCAAGACCAAAACUAAGAUCCAAAUCAAAUGACGAAAAAACAACUGUACUUAAACAAAUUUUAAAAGACCAAUUAAAAACGAUACUAAACAUAUAUCACAAUAAUUACAUGUCCAUGAAUAUAAAUAUAAAAAAAAAUGAGGAACCAAUUAAAGAGGGGGAUAAAAGAUUAAUCUAUUAUUAUGUUAAUAAAAUAAUAAAGGAAAUUCCUUUUAUUAACUUGACAGAAAAUAUGAAUGAUACAUAUAAUUGUAAAAACUGUAAUGCAAAUAUCAACACUUAUUUUCUUUCACUAAAACAUAUAAUUAUUGUUAUUAUUAAUAUUAUUUUAAUUACUCAACUAUUUAAUAAUAAAGAAAUAUAUAAAAUUAAACACUUUUUUCAUAUUUUAAAUGGUAAAAAAGAUAGUAACUCAGAACUCACAAGUAUGGGCAUACAGCAUAAAACAACAUCUUCAAACUUACAUGACUUGCAUAUAAAACCAAACAAUCAAGAAUCAAGUGGUGAAUUAAAUAACCGAACAAAAAAUGAACCAACACAAGAAGAACUUAUCCAUGAAUCUAUAAAUAACACAAAUAAAACUGCAGAGAUAGAAGAAAUAAACAAAAUAUUUGAUAAAGGUACAUACACAUGUUUGCUUGAUGGUGCAAAUAUCGGUUACAAUAAACAAAAUGUUGAACAAGGGAAAUUCAGUUAUUUACAAAUUGAAAUAUUAAAAGAAAUAAUAAAAAAAAAAAAAAAAGAAACACCCUUGAUUAUAUUGCCUAUUAUAUACCAUUACAAGAAUUCACUUAAAUAUAUAGAGCACAAUAGAUACAACCUCGAUAAGAAACAUGGAGAAUGUGAUGAAAAAGAUGACAACUACGAUAUGAAUGUAUACAUACCAAAUAAAACUGUUAAAAUUAAAAAGAAUGCUCAUGAAGAUUCUAAAUUUGAAUUUACAUCAAAGUCAAUAAAACGUGACGGACUUAAACAAGUUGCAAAUGAAUUGAGUAAAUCAAAUAUACACAACGUGAAUGACACAUGUAGUGCUAAUGCAUACGACACAAACAGUCCACUUAAGUAUAUUAAAAAAAUAUUUAACAAGAUAAGUAAAACAGAUAUAGAAAUAAUAAAAAAAUGGGAAAAGGAAAAGUGUUUAUAUAUAUGUAACUAUAACAUGUAUGAUGAUUAUUAUUAUAUUUUAGGUAGUCUUGCUAAAAGUAAUAAUUUAUUCAAUAUAUACCAUUAUAUAAAUAAAUUAAUUGAGCAUUAUUCUAAGUAUAACAAUUUUAAUCAUAAUAUAAUUAUAGAUAACUAUGAUAUAACAAAUGGUACAAUAAAUUAUAACAAUAGAGAUAUUUUAUGUGUAUAUAAUAAUGUUAUAUAUGACCAAAUUAGUAAUAUUAUGGUAUUAGUUCGUGACGAUAGUAAUGAUAAUAAAAAAAAUAAAUACGUUUCUUUAAAUGAACAAUAUUACAAUGAUCAAAUAAAAAAAAAAAAAAAUAAUAAUAAUAAUUCUAUUAAAACUUUAGAAAAAAUAACAAAUAAAAUACCUUUCAGAUCAUAUGAUGAUAAAAUACCAUAUGAAAAUGACAUUUUUAUGGAAUCUUUUUUUUAUGAUUUUAAGAGUAACCAGCAUGUAAAUGAAAACGCAAUGGUUGAUAAUGUUAAUGAGUCUGUCGGGUGCACUGUCAUGUCAACAACUAAUGACAAAAUUAAUAACAAAACAACCCCUUCUUCAGAAGAUGAAAAAAAAAAAAAAAAUACAAUAGCUUAUAGUAAUAUAUACAUAAAAUGCAUUAGAAACAUGAACAGUACACAAAAUCCUAUUUAUAUAUAUACAAAUGAUAAAAUGAAAAAUCAUUAUUUUAAUGAAUAUACAAAUUUUAUUUUAAGAAAGUGGAAAACAAAAAGUUUUAUGUCUUUUUAUUUUCAGCAUCCAAUUUUUAUGUCAGAUUUGCAGAAGCAUGAUGAAUGGAGGUAUGGUAACACUAGUGGUGGUAUCGAUGAAAGUUGUACUAUAGCUAGUAGCGACAGUAAUAUCAGUUGUUCCCCUAACAGUAGCAACAUUAACAAUUCCGAAAGUAAUAAUAAUAUUAAUAUAAAUAACAUAAUACAUAAUUACAAAUUGCCACAUGUAAAUAUACAAAAUUCUAAGAUAUUUAUAGAAGAUAUCGUAGCUUAUAAUAAUAAAAAUAGUUAUCACAUAAAAAUUAAUAUACCAAACAAAUCAUUUUUAGCUUAUCAAAAUGAAAACACAUCAAGUUUGCACUAUAACAACAACGUAGUUAAAUAUAUAUGUAUCGAUUUUGAUAAAGUUUGA